GUGUGUUUAAGUUGCGCCUCUUUCAACAAGUGUUGCUUGGAGUAAGGCGAGGCGUCGACAGUUUGCAUCACGCCACCUUACGCUUAGGCGUGCCUAAAAUGUACCUUUCACAACUAUGAUCUAAACAAACCAAAUAAAAAAAAUUAAAAAUUAACACCUAUGGACCCGCAUUUUUCACGUGCAUCCUCACUCGAUAACAAGACUCAUUUUUAUUGUGAAAAAAUUGAUUUUUGAAAAAUGGAGUCACCACUUAUUUUUGUUUAUUUUUAAAAGGAAAAAAUAAGAAAUAAAAUCCUAAACUGAUUCAUUUUUGAAGAAAAACAUGUUUAUGAAAAAAUAAAGUCUAAGUCUCGAGUCAAGUUACUUACCAUGGGGAAACGCCCAUCUAAGCCCUAAAAAUGUCUCUAUUAAACAAGUGGAGGAAAUUAUGAUCGUUAACUAGUAGAUCAUAAAUACUAAGAAACCAUAAAAGCAUAAAUAUACAAGGCAUGGUAAUAAAGAAUAAGAAACUAAUGAUGACUAUAUGAGCUCUGUAAAUCAGAAAAUCACAUGAAUCCAAAUAAAGAUCACUAAAGAGCACAACAUACUUAGCAAAAGAAUUCAACAAUUAAAGGGAGAAAGGAACGUACCUCAAUAAUGCCUAAAAUAAGGGCAAUGAGCUUAUAGAAGAAAGAAAAGAUAAUUUAGAAAUAAAAGAAGAGAACUAUCAUCAAACCAAGGAUCACUCAAUAUGCACAAGAUGUCUAGAACUUAAAUCAAAGGUCAAAAGUAGCUAAGCUAACAUCAUAUGGUAUUGAAAAAGAUGUUAAGGAGUUAAAACAGGACAACAUACAUGCACUUACAAAAUAAAUUCAUUUCAAAGAGUUAAAGGGUGGUCAUGCUAUAGGGGAGAGCUUAUUUAUGAUGCUCAAGAUGUAUACUACACAAAUCAAGAAUCAAGGAAGGCUAAAAGUAUACCAAAUAAGAUUGAUUUCACAAAACAUGCAAAAGGUGCAAGACAUGACAACAUAUUAAUGUGUAAGAGAUUGAUUUAUUUGACAAGGUUAGAGGUAAGAUAAAAAUUAAGGCAAAAAUUCUCUAACAUGUACAAGAUGUCUGAAAUACAUAUGAAAAGUCAAAGGGGUCUAACUAAACAUCGAAGGGUAUAAAUUUCAAUAAACAUUCCAUAACUCAAAAACAGGGCAAUGUACAAAUACUCCAAAGAUUAAUUUAUUCCACAACCAUAGAAAUGAUUUUUCAACAAUGCUAAAGCUCCCAAGUUUAUUUAAGAUGUCUAGAUUAAAGUUCAAGCCUAAAACAUAAUUAACAAUGAAAGAAUUGUGACUAAUUCACAAAAACAUUUUAGUAUGCAAUAAUAAGGCAACAAUCAACACUUGUGUCAAAUAAUCUAGAUUUAUAAAAACAUUUUAGGACUCAAAAAUAGGAAGUCAGUAGCCAACACUUGGCAAUCAAAAUAUGUGGGCUUUGACACCAGCCUAAAUUAUUUUCCAUUGACAAUCCAACAUUCCAAUCCUCUAAUGAGCAUAGCAAAAGGCUCAUAAGGGCUAGGAAUAAUCUCAUUCAUUUCAGAUUGCAAGGAUGAUCAAUGUUUCCAUAAACAAGAAAUAUUGAAAAUCAAAAGUUUAGAAAAACAAGUGAUGUUGGCUAAAGACACCGGCCAUUGUUCAACUAUAGGGCCCUCAUUCCUUUUAACCCUUAAAUGAACAUGGAAUUAAGUUCAUAAGAGGCGUGGAAUGCCUGUACUCAUAUUUGAGAAAAGUAGCUAAAAUGCACAUAAAAGCAUUUGUGGGAAGGCAUGCUCUCAUAUGGAUUCAAGCUCUUAAUGAUCAUGAAAGGAUAUUCACAAGGGCUGAAAAAUGACUCAGAAAAAUCAAGCUUAAAAAGCUUUGAAAAAACCCAAAAGAUUGAGAGCAACUAGUUAUGCUUUCAAGUAAAAUGGUAAGGCUAAAAUCUAUGGCUAUAGACCUAACCUUUGGCCAUAAAAAUAGCUAUCAAAGAGAGCUUGAAAUUCAAUUAAAAAAUAAGUUGAAAACAAGAGUUGGCAAUCAACUUUAAAAUGGAAACAAACAAAAAAAAAUGCAAAAAAGCUCUAUAGAACAUUUUCUAAGGAAAAUAAUUUUGACAAAACAUCAAACACAUGAGCCUCUCAAUCUUCCUUUUAAAAUCAGUUGAGACAUCUCCAAAAAUCUUUAAAAUUAGAGAAAAUGAAAUUCGCAAUGGGUAAACAAAGAAAAUCCAUAGGUUACAAAUCAAGACAACACUCACAUCAUGUUCUUAAACUUAAUGGGCUCCAAAUAGAAAAUUAGUCCAAGAAAUAAAUAAAUCAAAACUAGGCAAGGCAUGAAGAACAUCCAAAUAUCAAUUUAAGCAAAUAAACAAACAUUUAAUGAGCACCUAAAGUGAAAAGAAUGGAGAAAAUCAUAUUGGACCCUAAGAUGAAGAGAAAAUACCCAAAAUUAACCAUAUGAUCUUUCAACACCCACAACCCAUGUAACUAUCAUCUAAAGAAUCAAUAGACAAACCAAAAAUGAAGUCGGAAUUAAAAAAGACUUACCAAAGAAACUCCCCCUAAGUACGAUACUUGGCUUCUAGUAUGCACAAAUCUUUUUCUUCAAGCCAAGCUCACCUCUAAAUCUUUCAAUACUCUCUUAUCUUUCUUUUCUCUCUUAAAAUGGGUAGAGUUUCCC
rnacentral:lncRNA from 1 species